CCCUUAGAUGUCCUGGGCCGCACGCGCGUUACACUGAUGCAUUCAACGAGCUUAUAACCUUGGCCGAGAGGCCUGGGCAAUCUUGUUAACGUGCAUCGUGAUAGGAAUAGAUUAUUGCAAUUUUUAAUCUUGAACGAGGAAUUCCUAGUAAACGCAGAUCAUCAAUCUGCAUUGAUUACGUCCCUGCCCUUUGUACACACCGCCCGUCGCACCUACCGAUUGAAUGGUCCGGUGAAGCCUCGGGAUUGUAGCAAUCUACCUUUAUUGGUGGUUUGUUGCAAGAACUUGUCUAAACCUUAUCAUUUAGAGGAAGGUGAAGUCGUAACA
rnacentral:rRNA from 1 species